AUUGAACGCUGGCGGCAGGCCUAACACAUGCAAGUCGAGCGGAUGAAGGGAGCUUGCUCCUGGAUUCAGCGGCGGACGGGUGAGUAAUGCCUAGGAAUCUGCCUGGUAGUGGGGGAUAACGUCCGGAAACGGGCGCUAAUACCGCAUACGUCCUGAGGGAGAAAGUGGGGGAUCUUCGGACCUCACGCUAUCAGAUGAGCCUAGGUCGGAUUAGCUAGUUGGUGGGGUAAAGGCCUACCAAGGCGACGAUCCGUAACUGGUCUGAGAGGAUGAUCAGUCACACUGGAACUGAGACACGGUCCAGACUCCUACGGGAGGCAGCAGUGGGGAAUAUUGGACAAGGGGCGAAAGCCUGAUCCAGCCAUGCCGCGUGUGUGAAGAAGGUCUUCGGAUUGUAAAGCACUUUAAGUUGGGAGGAAGGGCAGUAAGUUAAUACCUGGCUGUUUUGACGUUACCAACAGAAUAAGCACCGGCUAACUUCGU
rnacentral:rRNA from 1 species